rnacentral:misc_RNA from 1 species
GAUGAAGAACGCAGCGAAAUGCGAUAAGUAGUGUGAAUUGCAGAAUUCCGUGAAUCAUCGAAUCUUUGAACGCACAUUGCGCCUUCUGGUAUUCCGGAAGGCAUGCCUGUUCGAGAGUCAUUAACAACCGUUUCGAUCCCUUUCUUUCAGAAAUUACAAAGAGGAAAAGGGUUUGGUUAUGGUGGAGGAGGGAAAGGGAGCGUUUAGCCUGUAAAAAAAGAGGCUGUGUUCCGCCUCCCCCCCAAAAUUGUACAGGCGGUCGUGUGCGCCCACGCAUCGAGGUGUUGUAAAAGCUGCCACGGCACUUUUCACCUGUGCAGUGCGAGAUUGGCCAGCCGGUUUAAAAACCCCUCCAAACAAUCAAAGGUUGACCUCGGAUCAGGAAGGGAUACCCGCUGAACUUAAGCAUAUCAAUAAGCGGAGGA